rnacentral:rRNA from 1 species
AUACGGUGAAUACGUUCCCGGACCUUACACACACCGCCCGUCAAGCCAUGGAAGCCGGGUGUACCUAAAGUCGGUAACCGUAAGGAGCCGCCUAGGGUAAAACUGGUGACUGGGGCU